rnacentral:rRNA from 1 species
UAGGGAAUCUUCCGCAAUGGACGCAAGUCUGACGGAGCAACGCCGCGUGAGUGAAGAAGGAUUUCGGUUCGUAAAACUCUGUUGUUAGAGAAGAACAGCGCAUAGAGUAACUGUUAUGCGUGUGACGGUAUCUAACCAGAAAGCCACGGCUAACUACGUGCCAGCAGCCGCGGUAAUACGUAGGUGGCAAGCGUUGUCCGGAUUUAUUGGGCGUAAAGCGAGCGCAGGCGGUCAAUUAAGUCUGAUGUGAAAGCCCCCGGCUCAACCGGGGAGGGUCAUUGGAAACUGGUUGACUUGAGUGCAGAGGAGGAGAGUGGAAUUCCAUGUGUAGCGGUGAAAUGCGUAGAUAUAUGGAGAAACACCAGUGGCGAAGGCGACUCUCUGGUCUGUAACUGACGCUGAGGCUCGAAAGCGUGGGUAGCAAACAGG